CCCUUUAGUCUGCACGCUUUACCCUCCCUAGUCAGAAUCAGAGUGAGACUCCAGUACUCCCCACUCUCUCUAUAUAGUGAGUGUAAAGAGUAUUUUAUCUUAGCCUCCAUAACGGUACACAACUAGAAGAACACCCAUGCUAGGAGGCACCUACAUUGGGUUGCUGGCUACAGCAGCCCUCCUCUCUCUGCUACAGGACGGGACUUACGGAAGUGUUGAGGGUGACAGAUCAUCAGUUACAAUGAGAGAUGCAGGGACCUGCACUGUCCACAGCAACUUCCACUACAGCACCUUUGACUGGGCCAACUUCCGAUUCAUUGUCCCCUGUACCUACGUCCUGGCCCGGCUGUGCUCGUCCUCUGAGACCCAUCUGUCCCACUUCAGUGUGGAGGUGAAGAACGAGCAGCGAGGGAACUCCUCUGUAUCUCCUGUUCUGCAGGUCAAUGUGGAGGUGGAGAACCUCAGGGUCUCCCUGCACAAGAGACAGAACCACCGGGUCAUGGUCAACGGCAUUUGGAAGAAACUCCCCCUGAGCCUCAACGGUGGCACCAUCAACAUCCGAGGCAAUGCGGCUUCCGUCGUCCUGGAGACUAACUUCAACCUUUUUGUAUCCUAUGAUGACUCCUGUGCCGUCCAUAUCACCGUCCCCGCCUCGUAUUCCGGUAAAGUCUGCGGCAUGUGCGGGAACUUCAACCACCUGAGAGACGAUGAUUACCACACGGCUGACGGUUCUGAGGCUUCAACCGCUGCCACGUUUGGCCAGAGCUGGCAGAGCCAGAAGGCCUGUCAGUCAACCGCUGUCCCCAAUGAUUGUCCCCCUAUGGAAGAAGCAGAGUACGCUAGCGAGCCCUACUGUGGGUCCCUGGUCUCCAGGCACGGGCCCUUCGCAGAAUGCCAGUCUGUCCUGGGAGCCGAGAGCUACUUCCGGAGCUGUGUGGCGGGGAUGUGUGGAGCAGGUGGUGGCCUGGAGGUGCUGUGUGAGGCCCUGCAGUCCUAUGCUGAUAUGUGCCUCAAGGCCGGGGGGCCUGUAACUGCCUGGAGGAACUCGACUAUUUGUCCCCUGGAGUGUGGAGCAAACAGCCAUUACAACGCCUGUGCCGAGGGCUGCCCUGAGGCCUGCUCCGUCAUGGACGCCCAAGGGGCGUGUGGAAGCCGUGAGGAAAGGUGUGAGUGCAACCCCGGCUUCAAGCUCAGUGGGGGGAGGUGUGUCUCUGCAGAGGACUGUGGCUGCUGGAUGAAUGGAGUGCACUAUGAGAAAGGAGCGACGUUCAUGGACGGUGAAUGUGAUCGUGUGUGCCAGUGUAUGGGCGGGGGCAGACUCCAGUGUUCUGCUUCCUCCUGCGCGGACGACGAGGUGUGCAAGGUCAAAGAGGGGGUCAAGGGUUGCUUCCCCUCCAGCCCGGCCAUCUGCCGCGUCUACGGAGACCCCCACUACAUCACCUUUGACGGCAAGGAAUACACCUUUCAGGGGGGCUGCAGCUACACCCUGGCCAAGACGUGUGGCGGACACACACCCAUCCAGUUCUCAGUAACGGGCCAGAACUGGAACCCGGGGAGCGAGAGCAGUGCUAAGCUGGCCGCAGUGGUUCUGGAGACCAAGGAUCUGCAUUUGAAGAUAGAUAACUACAGUGUUACAGUGAACCAUGUUUGGCAGAGUCUUCCUAUUGCAGUAACCGGCACAUAUGGCGAGGUGAAGCUGUACAAGAAGAAGCAGUACACUGUCAUGGAGACGACCUUUGGCCUCCGGAUGCUGCUGGACGAUCAUCACAGGCUCUUCCUGCAGCUGGACGAGCGCUACAAGGGUGAGAUGUGCGGCCUCUGUGGUACCUACUCCAACGACCAGGGGGAUGACUUCCUAACCCCAAACGGCACCAAACCCGAGACCAAUGAGGUCACGUUCGCCAACAGCUGGAGAGUGAAGAGUCCGGAGGACGAUCACUGUGUUGCUUCCCCACCUGCCCCUCAACCAUGUGACUCCCAUUUGGACAACCAGGGCUACCAGGAGUGUUCCAAGCUGCUGCGUGACACUUUCAAGCCCUGCCACCCAUUUGUCCACCCCACAUCCUACAUAGACAGCUGUAUGUCUGACCACUGUGCCUCCGGCGGGGACAUGCAUGUGACAUGCUACUCUCUGAAGUCCUACGUGACCGCCUGUCAGGUGGCCAGUGUUACCUUGCCCCCCUGGUUUAAUGACACUGCCUGUGAUAGCCUACCUGGCCCUCCCACAAAACCACCAGUUACUACACCUGACAAUACAUUUUGUCCUCUAGACUGCAACUUUGACAACAGCGAGUGUGGGUGGGAGCAAAUUGUUCAGGACAGUUUUGAUUGGAGAAGACAGAGAGGCCCAACCCCGUCUGACCUCACAGGGCCAACCCAGGACCAUACCACAGGAGGUGGCUCCUACAUGUACAUUGAGGGCAAUGGUGUGUACUACGGAGACUCUGCCCGUAUGAUAAGCCCUAAGUGCCAAAAAGGGGCGACAAAAUACUGCCUGCGCUUCUGGUACCACAUGUACGGACAGGCCAAGGCCAUGAUUCUCAAUGUCUACCAGCUUGACGAGCACAACAAACACAGGAAACUGUGGUCCAAAGCCAAUAACCAGGGCUCCACAUGGUAUCUUGCCAAAGUGGAUAUCAAUAUCGAUGGGUCAUUCCAGAUCAUCGUGGAGGGAAUCCGAGGCUCUGACCCUCAGUCUGACGUGGCAUUUGACGACAUCUCCAUCCAUUAUGGAUCAUGUUCAGGUUCCUCAACAGGUGUUGUUGGUGGACCUUCAGUUCCUCCCCCAGUUGAAAAAGGAUCAUUUGUCCCACACUCAAUCUGCAACUUCGAUUGCACUUUCGAGGAGGACCUCUGCAGUUUUACCCAGCUGAUGACGGAUUCUUUUGAUUGGACAAGGCACAGUGGCUCCACCCCCACUGCAAUGACUGGGCCAUCGGCUGACCACACUAAAGGAGAUGUCGGUCACUACUUGUACAUCGAAGCCAACAAUGUGUCUAACGGAGACACGGCUCGCCUCCUCAGCUCUGAGUGUUCUGACCCCGGUCUUCAGUGUCUGCAGUUCUGGUACCACAUGUCCGGUUCAGCGGAAACUAUGGGCCUGCACGUCUACAUACUCCAGGACCGCAGCGCCGACAAGGUAUGGUGGAAGAGGAACAACCAGGGAGACUGCUGGCAACUAGCCCAGGUGGAUCUGAGGACCACUGGACCUUUCCAGAUCAUCUUCGAGGGCCGAAGAGGCACCACUGAUCAAUCUGAUGUGGCUAUAGACGAUGUUUCUCUGCAUCGUGGACACUGUGAAGAUCUGAUUAAGCCAACAACACCAACCGAGAAUCCUGUGCCAGCAGACAAGUCUACCAUUGCAUCAACACCAGAUCCAAUUACCAUGAGACCAGUAACACUAAGACCAACAACUGCUGCACCAGCUCCAACCAACUCAACCAUGCCAUCUAAACCCUCAACAACUGCUAGGCCACAACCACCAACAACUAUGAGACCAGAAACACCAGCACCACCCACAACUGAAGUACCAAGUCCACCAAGACCGACAACUGAAAGACCACAACCCCCAAGACCAACAACUGCAAGACCGCAACCGCCCACCACAGCGAGACCAACACCAUCGUGCCCAAACCACAGCCACUUCUCCCCCUGCAUCUCCGACUGCCAGCCCACCUGUAUGCACCUCCACGGCCCACCCGACUGCCACUCUGAUGAGCACUGCAUACAGGGCUGUGUGUGUGACGACGGCUUUGUGCUCAGACAGAGGGUGUGUGUGCCCACCCAGCAGUGCGGCUGCGUGGACAGCAAUGGCAACAGCCAUCACUUUAAAGAGAGCUGGUACACUGAGCACUGCCAUCAGAAGUGUGAAUGUGUUGAAGAUGAUGGUGUGGGGGAGAUUGACUGCAAUAAUGAAUAUGAGUGUGAUGGGGAUGCCAUCUGUCUUCAGAAUGAAGCUGGACUGUAUUUCUGCAAGUCAACAGGCUUCAGUGAGUGCUCUAUCAAUGGAGACUCAGAGUACAGAACCUUUAACAACAAGAAGCAUUACUUUGAGGGCACAAACUCUCAUGUUCUGGUCCAGACCACAGACCUGUCCAAGAACCAGCCAGACAUCUACAUCAAAACCAUCAAUGAGAUCGUCAACCAGGAUGGUGAUGACAGUCAUGGUGACAGUAGCCAAGGUGACAGUAGCCAAGGUGACAGUAGCCAAGGUGACAGUAGUAAUGUUGACAGCAGUGAUGAGGAUGACAAGCAUAAAGACAGCAUGAGAAGGGAGAACAGUGAAGACAAGAAUGAUCGCAGCGAUGAGGACAGUGAUGAAGAUAAAAGUGAGAACAACAACCGUAUGCGACUCAGAGGGCUGAAAAUCAGAGUCUACAACCACAUAGUGGAGUUCAGGAAGAACAGGAAACUUGUUCUGGAUGGUAGGAGCAUGCAUGCCCCUGUCUCCCCAGCAAGGGGUCUGAGGAUUCUGGAGAGCUCCUCUCGUAUCUACCUGAAGACAGACUUUGGCCUCUCCGUGGAGUUUGAUGGACACAGCAGAGCAGUAAUCAUCCUGCCCCACACCUACAAGAGGAGAUUGGGAGGCCUGUGUGGCAACUUUGACAGCAAGAAGAAAAAUUACAUGAUGAAGCUGAACGGUAAACAGGCCAAGAUCGCCAAAUAAAUUGGAGAGAGCUGAAGAGUGACGGAGGACUGACUGAGCAUGGAGUUGAAGAGUACCUAUAAUAAGAAUGACAGACCUCUACAUGCUUUAGGAUCAUCUUCCCUUCGUAACUUUGCUUAUGGCCAGCGACCUGACCUCAAUGCAUCAAGGCCAUUGAAUUUGUUUUUUUCUUUUCUUCUCAUAGACAGACACAUUCCUUCCUACAAUGGACACAGUGCAUUUGAAAGCACUUGGGUUAAAAAAGGGGUUUUGUGGACUAUGGAUCAAUAAAGUAUUCUACUUCUUCCA